CCUUGACAUACUAAGAACUUUCCAGAGAUGGAUUGGUGCCUUCGGGAACUUAGAUACAGGUGCUGCAUGGCUGUCGUCAGCUCGUGUCGUGAGAUGUUGGGUUAAGUCCCGNAACGAGCGCAACCCUUUUCCUAUUUGUCAGCGGGUCAUGCCGGGAACUUUAAGGAUACUGCCAGUGACAAACUGGAGGAAGGCGGGGACGACGUCAAGUCAUCAUGGCCCUUACGGCCAGGGCUACACACGUGCUACAAUGGUCGGUACAAAGGGUUGCUACCUCGCGAGAGGAUGCUAAUCUCAAAAAGCCGAUCGUAGUCCGGAUCGCAGUCUGCAACUCGACUGCGUGAAGUCGGAAUCGCUAGUAAUCGCGGAUCAGAAUGCCGCGGUCGAAUACGUUCCCGGGCCUUGUACACACCGCCCGUCACACCAUGGGAGUUUGUUGCACCAGAAGUAGGUAGUCUAACCGCAAGGAGGACGCUUACCACGGUGUGGCCGAUGACUGGGGUGAAGUCGUAACAAGGUAGGCGUAGAUGA
rnacentral:rRNA from 1 species